rnacentral:rRNA from 1 species
UACAGAGGGUGCGAGCGUUAAUCGGAAUUACUGGGCGUAGAGCGCGCGUAGGCGGCUUUUCAAGCCGAUUGUGAAAUCCCCGGGCUUAACCUGGGAACUGCAGUCGGGACUGUCUAGCUAGAGUAUGGGAGAGGGAAGUGGAAUUUCAGGUGUAGCGGUGAAAUGCGUAGAUAUCUGAAGGAACAUCAGUGGCGAAAGCGACUUCCUGGACCAAUACUGACGCUCAUGUGCGAAAGCGUGGGGAGCAAACAGG